rnacentral:rRNA from 1 species
AUGUCGUUCAACGGUGUGCUGCGAGUGUUGUAUGUGAUGGUGACCAAGGGAGAUGUGGUUCUCAUGUACUUCAACGGCGGCGGGGUGCUGCUGGAACUGGUUUAUACUGCUAUCUUCAUCAGUAUUGCUUCAGCAGCGGACCGUCGUCGGGCCAAUCUGCUUCGAUCCAUCGUGCCUGGGCUCUUGAUCCUUAUCCUGGGCGGCAUAUGUUACCUGACCAGUGCCACAGCUUACAGGCUGCUCUGUGCCAUCUGUGGGAGUGCUCUGUACAUCGUCCCAAUGAUUGACGUGGUUAAAGUCAUCAAACUCCGCAAGCGAAAGUACAUGCCACCUCUGCUCCUUACCUCUACCUCGUUCCUCAACAGCAUCAUAUGGGCUGUGAUUUCUGGCAUACAGUCGGAUUGGUACAUCAUGGUACCAAACCUGGUUGGUUUGGCAUGUGCCUGUAUCCAGCUCGGCCUCCACAUAGGAGCUCCGUGGCUGUUCAAGGUUCAUUUCUCAGGCCUUACCGAGCUGUUCCUGGAUGAGGGGGAGGAGGAAUCACCCUGCUGA